UAUUUCUCCAUAAACUUCAGCAGCACUACUAUUCCAGGCUCUCCAAGCCCUGCGGCUGAGCAGUCUCAGCCUUUUGUGUCUGACAGGAUGGCAGAAGCAUCGUCUGUGGUCUUCCACUGUCAUUAUGGGAAGUGAUGCCUUUUCAGCAUGUGCCUUUGGGACUGGAACAGCAAUCUGCAGGCCUCUGGCACUGCUGCUGUUGUGUGUGACCUUAGGACUAUUUAGUGUCUUUUUCAGGAAUUAGUGGAAGCUUCUUCACCUCCAAAUCACAUGUCCCUUGCCUCUGUUAACUAGAAGACUUUAAAGAAAUUCAGCUACUUCAGGAAAGCCAUAGCUGUUACCAGAAAUAACACCACUGAGGUAGUGGCACCACUGAGAGUGUGACUCUUUGCUGCCCUGCAGUAGUGUGUCAUCUAAUCUUCCAAAAUGUUAUGGUACAAUUCAGGAAAAAAAAAAAAAAAAAAAGACCAAAAGAAUCACAACAAAUUACAAUGACUUCUAUAUGAAAAUUUGAGUGAAUCUUAUAAAUGGUCAGUAUAAAAAUGCUACAGUUUACAGCUAUCAGACUGCUUUCUUCAUGUACAACAUAUGAUCACUGCUGCUACCACUGACUUCCAAAAUAAAUCCGUCAGUAAUUUCCAAAUGUGGUGAUAAUCUUGAAAAUGUCACAUAACUAAUGAACCUGCAUCAUGCAGUUCUAGCAGCUGAGUUUUGGUGUUUUGUAACUGCAGCAAUAUUUCUUAAUCAUUUUGUAUAUGUCAUUAUGUAUCACACUAGCUUCUCUGUCCACAUCUAUGUGGACUGAAGCACAAAAAUGCAUGCAAAACAGCAGCUUGGGACUAAAAUCACUGCUUAAAUUAAUGGUAUAAAGGGAGGGUUUUCCACAAAUACUUGUUUUUAUUGAGGGUAUUCUUUUUCCUUGAAUGGCCUAUUAAUUCUGAAGGCCAUUUUGGUUAGGAUUCUUAAUCUGAAUUAUGUUGUUAUUCAUGGCUUUAUUUUGUGUCUUCUCAUCAUCUUCAUUGUUUGAUGGCUAUUUUAUAUAAGGCUUUUAAGCAAAAGAAAGCUUAAGAAAAGUGGCAACAAAAGAAUAUGCUUAUUUUACCCAUUGUCACAGUCCUAUUCCACCAUACUUACCACACGGAGACAUACAUUAGAUUUCAAGUGUCCUAUUUAUCCCAGUGAAACUAAUUACAGAGCAGAAUAGACAAAAUGUGAACAAGGAUUAAAAAAAUCCAAUAUGAAAUGACUACUGAAGCAAUGACAACAUUUUGCUUUGGUGAAUUGCCAUUCAGUGCGUAAUAGCUAGAUGUUAAUCCUGUGGGGCACUAUGCACCCAAGUAACAAAAAUGAUCGCUAUAUAUCAGAAGAGAUUUAAUUU
rnacentral:lncRNA from 7 species